GCUCGAGUGGCGAACGGGUGAGUAACACGUGAGUAACCUGCCCUUGACUUUGGGAUAACUUCAGGAAACUGGGGCUAAUACCGGAUAGGAGCUCCUGCUGCAUGGUGGGGGUUGGAAAGUUUCGGCGGUUGGGGAUGGACUCGCGGCUUAUCAGCUUGUUGUGGGGUAGUGGCUUACCAAGGCUUUGACGGGUAGCCGGCCUGAGAGGGUGACCGGCCACAUUGGGACUGAGAUACGGCCCAG
rnacentral:rRNA from 1 species